AACGCGAAGAACCUUACCUGGGUUUGACAUACACCGGAUCGCCGCAGAGAUGCGGCUUCCCUUGUGGUCGGUGUACAGGUGGUGCAUGGCUGUCGUCAGCUCGUGUCGUGAGAUGUUGGGUUAAGUCCCGCAACGAGCGCAACCCUUGUCUUAUGUUGCCAGCACGUAAUGGUGGGGACUCGUAAGAGACUGCCGGGGUCAACUCGGAGGAAGGUGGGGGACGACGUCAAGUCAACAUGCCCCCUAUGUCCAGGGCUUCACACAUGCUACAAUGGUCGGUACAGAGGGCAGCGAGACCGUGAGGUUAAGCGAAUCCCUUAAAGCCGGCCUCAGUUCGGAUUGGGGUCCGCAACUCGACNCCAUGAAGUCGGAGUCGCUAGUAAUCGCAGAUCAGCAACGCUGCGGUGAAUACGUUCCCCGGGCCUUGUACACACCG
rnacentral:rRNA from 1 species